rnacentral:rRNA from 1 species
UACGGGGGGGGCAAGCGUUGUUCGGAAUUACUGGGCGUAAAGGGUUCGUAGGUGGCCGACUAAGUCAGACGUGAAAUCCCUCAGCUUAACUGGGGAACUGCGUCUGAUACUGGUUGGCUUGAGGACAGGAGAGGAACGCGGAAUUCCAGGUGUAGCGGUGAAAUGCGUAGAUAUCUGGAGGAACACCGGUGGCGAAGGCGGCGUUCUGGACUGUUUCUGACACUGAGGAACGAAAGCCAGGGGAGCAAACGGG